GAAAAGGAAAAGGAAAAGGAAAAGGAUGGAGGCAGCAGAGAAGAUAAGCCAGGACCUCAGGGAACCAGGAGAGAGAGGAAAGACACCAGGAAGUCACAGAAGGCUGUAGGACUUCUGGCUUCGAAUCAUCCCCAGUGUCCUCACAUUCCAGACCAGGCUGAGUAGCAGCUGUUACUGAGAGCUGUUGUUCUCCCGGUACAAGGCAGCAACCUGCCAAGGGAGCCAGAGCCAAGCCACCCCUUCAAAGUGUCGGCACGGCUGUGUCAUGCCCGAGCUCUCAACCACCGUCUGGGCACAUACAGUGAGGCAAGCCAGAGUCAAUAAACAUUGUUGGAGCUGUGACCACAGAGGUGAUUGCAGAAUCAUAGCCCUCCUGAAGCGAUAUCCAAGCAGAGAACUUUCCAAUACAUAUCCUGAAAUCACAGAGCAUGCAGUUCCACCCGAGCUCCAGGAAGGCAGCAUCUUUGCUUAGGAUAUGGAAAUUUGGAAGCUUGUUGCUAUAAUCUGUGGUUAUGACUUCAAGCUCCCCCAAUGAUGUCGGGAAGCAGACCGCAGGCUCCCAGGGCUAGGAGCCUUUAUUGUAAUCCAAUAAAGCCUUAACAACCA